rnacentral:rRNA from 1 species
GGGUUAGUAGAUUGGUCAUGCCUAUGGUAUGUACUGGCUUUACUGAUUCCUCCUUCUUGAUGAACUGUAAUGUCAUUAAUUUGGUGUUGCAUGGAAUCAGGACUGUUACUUUGAAAAAUUAGAGUGUUUAAAGCAGGCAUACGCUUGAAUACAUUAGCAUGGAAUAAUGAAAUAGGACGUUCGAUCCUAUUUUGUUGGUUUCUAGGAUUGACGUAAUGAUUAAUA